GCUCGGCACAGGCCACGGCCUCGCCGGCCGGUCACAGCACAACUGUGGUCAGCUCGACUCUCCUGCUUCGGCAAACACACUGCGCGGUCCGGCAGAGCGGGGCGUAGCGGCGGUUCAGCGCAGAACUGCCGUCGAGACCCGCGGCCGGC
rnacentral:ncRNA from 1 species